CCCUGGUAGUCCAUGCCGUAAACGUUGGGCGCUAGAUGUAGGGACCUUUCCACGGUUUCUGUGUCGUAGCUAACGCAUUAAGCGCCCCGCCUGGGGAGUACGGCCGCAAGGCUAAAACUCAAAGGAAUUGACGGGGGCCCGCACAAGCGGCGGAGCAUGCGGAUUAAUUCGAUGCAACGCGAAGAACCUUACCAAGGCUUGACAUACACCGGAAACGGCCAGAGAUGGUCGCCCCCUUGUGGUCGGUGUACAGGUGGUGCAUGGUUGUCGUCAGCUCGUGUCGUGAGAUGUUGGGUUAAGUCCCGCAACGAGCGCAACCCUCGUUCUAUGUUGCCAGCGGGUUAUGCCGGGGACUCAUAGGAGACUGCCGGGGUCAACUCGGAGGAAGGUGGGGAUGACGUCAAAUCAUCAUGCCCCUUAUGUCUUGGGCUUCACGCAUGCUACAAUGGCCGGUACAAAGGGCUGCGAUACCGUAAGGUGGAGCGAAUCCCAAAAAGCCGGUCUCAGUUCGGAUUGAGGUCUGCAACUCGACCUCAUGAAGUCGGAGUCGCUAGUAAUCGCAGAUCAGCAACGCUGCGGUGAAUACGUUCCCGGGCCUUGUACACACCGCCCGUCAAGUCAUGAAAGUCGGUAACACCCGAAGCCGGUGGCCUAACCCUUGUGGAAGGAGCCGUCGAAGGUGGGAUCGGUGAUUAGGACUAAGUCG
rnacentral:rRNA from 1 species